GAUGAAGAACGUAGCGAAAUGCGAUAAGUAAUGUGAAUUGCAGAAUUCAGUGAAUCAUCGAAUCUUUGAACGCACAUUGCGCCCGCUAGUAUUCUGGCGGGCAUGCCUGUCCGUGCGUCAUUUCAACCCUCAAGCCCCCGGGCUUGGUGUUGGGGAUCGGCGAGCCUCCGCGCCCGCCGUCCCCUAAAUCUAGUGGCGGUCUCGCUGUAGCUUCCUCUGCGUAGUAGCACACCUCGCACUGGGAAACAGCGCGGCCACGCCGUUAAACCCCCAACUUCUGAACGUUUGACCUCGGAUCAGGUAGGAAUACCCGCUGAACUUAAGCAUAUCAAUAAGCGGAGGA
rnacentral:misc_RNA from 1 species